UACAGCAGUUAAGAGCCCUGGGUCUGGAGCAAAACUGCUGAGGUUUGAGGCCCCGUUUUGCUGCUCACUAGCUACAUGAUCUUGGGCAAGUUAUUUAAGCUCUCUGAGCUUCAGUUUCUUCCUCUGCAGAAUGGGGAUGAAAGCGGACUACUACCUCAUGGCAUGUUUUGAGGAUGAAAUGAGCUAAUAAACACAGUCUUCAGCCCUACAUUAGGAUGGCCUAAGGAAAACAAGAAGACUGAAUGAUAUUCCCUGCUGACUUAUAUAAGUUAUUAGUCUUCUAGAAGGAUCACAGGGAACCAGCAUCAAAGAAAUGGAAUCCAGCUAAUUCCUCCAAGAAACUGAAGUUUUCGGGACAUGACUUGUGAAAGGCAAACAUAAGCUGACAUCUUUUCACACUGAACAGCAACAGCCAAAGUGUAUCCGAAAAGCCAUUGUCAAAACAAGGAGUGAGAACAGCUGGGGUCAAGACCUAAUGAAGGGCAUCACUUAGCCUCUUUGAGCCUCAGAUUCCUCAUUUGUAAAGUGGGCAUAAUAAUACCUCACAGGGUAGUUAUGAGGGCAAAUGAGAUAAUGGACACGAAGGCACCUGUACACUCCACGGUGCUAUCAGAAUAUUGACUAUUAGUGCUUUCAUCACGCGGCUCCAUCCAAACCCCUGCUUUCCCUCACUCCAACAGGCUUUUACUCUGUCACCCAGGCUGGAGUGCAAUGGUGCAAUCUUGGCUCACUGAAACCUCUGCCUCCUGGAUUCAAGCGAUCCUCCCACCUCAGCCUCCCGAGUAGCUGGGACUACAGAAAUUAUUCCUUUGCAGGUGGUGCAAAGGAUCAGCACGGGAGUUUUGACCUGCUCCGUUUCCGACCUGGGUCGGUUCACCCCUCCUUAGGCAACCUGGCAGUUCCCCGCUCCAGGGAGGUCACCCUCUUGAUGCUGAAUUUAGCACGGACACCUGAUGGGCACAGUGCACUGCAGCCCAGAGCUCCCAGGCUCAAGCCAUCCUCCUGCCUCAGCCUCCAAGUAGCCAGGACCAUAGGCACGCACCCUGAGGAGGAAGAAAUACCAGGUGCGCAUGCUCCGAGAAAAAGCCAUCUGAGGACGCAGCAAGAAGGCCGCCAUCUACAAGCCAAGGAGAGGGGCCUCAGGAGAAAUCGAACCUGUCACACCUUGAUCUUGGACUUCCAGCCUUCAGAACUGUGAGAAAGUAAAUUUCUGUGUUCAAACUACCAGGUCUGUGGGAUUUUUUAUGGCAGCCCUAGCAGACUAAGACAGGCGUCAAUGGUUCCAAUGUUUUCAUUUUUUUUUCAGGUAAGCAGACCGAAGCCCAGAGAGAUGAAGCAAUUUGCCCAAAGUCACAUACCAAGUUAACUGAAGAGUUGGGAUUAGAAUCCAGCUCUUGUGACUUCUCUCUUUUCAGUUUCCCUUCCCACUCCCCCCACUGAAAAGCUUUUGAGUGACUCUUUUAGAAAUCCCGGUUCUGUAUAUGAAGCAGAAUUGAGCACAGCUGCUCUAUUGAAGGGCUCAGAGCUCCCAGGCUUUUCUCUCUCCUCUGCCCCUUUUCCCUGUUGCACCUCUGCAGCGUCCUGAGGGUUGAUGGAAUCUAGUUUGAAAGCUAUUGCUCUACCUCACUGCCUCCUGAAUGCAAUGUCACAAAUUUUCCCAACUUGCCAUUUCUCUCACACUGACAUAAAGCAUUAGAAACCUGUUGUGAAGUAGGAAAGCUAACUGGGUCAGUAGCUGAUAAGAUAAUCUGGCCUAGGGGAUAGAUGAUUAGGAUUUCAGAGAAGGAAAGGUCACCCAAUUGAUUUGACUCUGUCCUGGGGCGAUGAUAUGGUGAAGAUUUCUACAGAUGCAGCAGAAACAUCCGGAAACCAGGUGUGUCCCAGCUCUGGUCUGGGAACCAUUUCAUAAAUUGGCAAAUAUCCAGAAUAUACACAUGGCUAAUUCUGAGGUGUACUGAAGUUUCAAUAAAGCUACUUUGGUAAUGACUAGGAGAAGAAAAUCCUAUGGCUGCACUUUGUUAAUGUUGUAUGGCCACGGACAGUGUUUCUCUAAUUAUGGCCUGUGAACCUCCCUGGAUCUCGAUCACCUGCAUAUUUGGGAAUAUGCAGGUUCCAGGGUCCCACCUGAAACUACAGAAUCAGUAUUGAGAACCCAGGUGAUUCUCAUGUACACUCAAGUGUAAGAUUAUUAGCACCUGGACUUUGGAAGCAGCCAGAUAAAAGUAUGAAUCCCGGGUUGGCUACUUCCUAGAUGUGGCCAAGUCAUUUUACUUGCCAUGCUUUUGCUUUUCUUGUCUGUAAAGUGGACAUAAUACCUAUUUUACAGGGUGGUUUUGAGGAAUAAGGUCAGCUUUAAAAAUUUAUCCUCUUUAGGGAGACAGAGAGAGGAGAUGAAAUAGAGUAGAAUUGAGAAAAGCAGCUUCUUAGACCUCUCUGUGAAGUUUUUCUUAUUUCAACAAAUAAUAAAAAAUUCAUAUACUUUC